rnacentral:tRNA from 1 species
ACUAUAGCCAAGCGGUAAGGCAGUGGAAUUUGACUCCAUCAUCCGCAGGUUCGAAUCCUGCUAGUC